UACGAAGGGGGCUAGCGUUGCUCGAAGAUUACUGGGCGUAAAGCGCACGUAGGCGGAUUGUUAAGUCGGGGGUGAAAUCCUGGAGCUCAACUCCAGAACUGCCCUUGAUACUGGCGGUCUCGAGUCCGGGAGAGGUGAGUGGAACUGCGAGUGUAGAGGUGAAAUUCGUAGAUAUUCGCAAGAACACCAGUGGCGAAGGCGGCUCACUGGCCCGGUACUGACGCUGAGGUGCGAAAGCGUGGGGAGCAAACAGG
rnacentral:rRNA from 1 species